CUGCUCAUUUUAGCAGUACAUAUACUAAAAUUGAGACAAUUCAGAGAUUAGCAUGGUCCCUGCAUAAGGAUGACACGUAAACUUGUGAAGAUUUCCAUAUUUCU